rnacentral:rRNA from 1 species
CCUACGGGAGGCAGCAGUGAGGAAUAUUCGUCAAUGGGCGCGAGCCUGACCCAGCCACGUAGCGUGAAUGAUGACUGCCCUACGGGUUGUAAACUUCUUUUAUAAAGGAAUAAAGUGAGGCACGUGUGCCUUUUUGUAUGUACUUUAUGCAUAAGGAUCGGCUAACUCCGUGCCCGCAGCCGCGGUAAUACGGAUGAUCCGAGCGUUAUCCGGAUUUAUUGGUGUUAAAGGUAAAGUAGAUGGGUGGUUAAGUCAGUUGUGAAAGUUUGCGGAUCAACCGUAAAAUUGCAAUUGAUACUGGCAGUCUUGAGUACAGUUGAGGUAGGCGGAAUUCGUGGUGUAGCGGUGAAAUGCUUAGAUAUAACGAAGAACUCCGAUUGCGAAGGCAGCUUACUAAACUGCCACUGACAUUGAUGCUCGAAAGUGUGGGUAUCAAACAGGAUUAGAUACCCGAGUAGUC